UACAGAGGGUGCGAGCGUUGUCCGGAAUCACUGGGCGUAAAGGGCGCGUAGGUGGCGCUCCAAGUCUGUGGUGAAAGCUCGAUGCUCAACAUCGAGUCGGCCAUAGAGACUGGAGGGCUCGAGCACUGUGGGGGCAGAUGGAAUUCCGGGUGUAGCGGUGGAAUGCGUAGAGAUCCGGAAGAACACCGGUGGCGAAGGCGGUCUGCUGGGGCAGUUGCUGACACUGAGGCGCGGACGAGCGUGGGGAGCAAACAGGG
rnacentral:rRNA from 1 species